ACUGUAAUGCUUUCAAAUUUCAAAUACAAAAAGACACGUACUUUGCCAAGGCACUUAUGGUUGUAGAUAUGCUUGUAAUGAUCUCUUAAAAGCUAAAAAAGAACAGGGGUCCUUGAUCAAAUUCGAACUGGUCCUUGAUCAAAAGUAAAAUCCUUAAAAACUUCAAUUUUCACAUAUGGUAAAUACUGUUCUAGACCCACAACCUAACUUGUGGUCGUAAGCUUGAUAAGUUCAUGUAACAAUAGUUAAAAUCGCAACCUCUGAAGUAAACUGCCAUAAUCAUGUAGAAUAAUCCACAAGCUGCAUACAAAUGUACAUUCAAGUCCCUCUUAAAGAAACAAGAAUCAUAAGUUAGUAAUCCUAUUCAGGGAACAAUUAGCUUAUCAUACUCCCAGCUUUACCUUAUUUAUUGCUUUACUCCAUGCUUUAUAUUCUUCAGUAACCAUGUCAUGUACUCCCUCAUCCAGCCUUUUAGUUUCGACUAGGAAAGAGCAUAUAUAGGCUCACAAAUUUAAUGAACUAACCUCUACAACUACCAUCCAUCACUUGCUAUGUCGAACCCCAACUGAUUUACACUAGAAGCUAUUUCCCCUGUUGUAAAUUAUGUCCUCAAGUCCCAAUCACAAACAAGAACCAGAAGUUUUACUACAGUACUCAUAAGUUUAAAAAUUCAAUUCAAAGUUGGCAGGAAAGGACAAACCUAUACUGAACCAUACUUUCUGUCUUACUACAAGGCUCCUAACUUUAAAGACUUAAUUCAAACCCUAUCACUAAAGAGCAAAGCUAAAAUGAACUUUAAUUUCAUUCUUACUGCAAGGCUCACAAACACGAUUACAAGUAUAACAAAAAUGUGCUACGAUCAAGUACCGAAAACUGCAUCAAAACUACCAAGUCCAUAAGAGCAAUACUCCCCAGCCUGAGCCUCACCAGCAUAAAGAAAUACCCAGACAUAAAUAAAUUAUUUACCCUUACAAAUACCCAGACACUCCUCUCUUACAAAUCCAACAGACACUCAUCUUAGAUUAGCAAAUACCUAGCUAUUAAUCCAAAAGUUUAAACCUUAGAUUAGCAAAUACAUACCUAGCUAUAAAUCCGAAUGAGUUUAGGGUUUCAGUGAUUCUAAUAGCUUCAAACAGAAAGAAGAAGAAGAAGAAACAAACCUAUACCUUGCACCAGAGCACAGCACCACAGCCAGAAAUCCCCAAAAACCAAUCUACAUGCUUCCCGGUAUGCAGCUCACUGUAGAAUUCGGUGGAGGAUUAGAACAUCUUUCUAACUCUGUCGAGAUUUGGAGGAUUAUGUUUUCUAGUUUGAGGCUUCAGGUUUGAGGUUUGGAGUGGGACUUCUUAGAAUCGAAGUGAAAGAGAAGAUUACCCUCUCAUGCAUAUGACUUUUCAGGUUUAAGGUUUAAUUUGUUGUAUAGGGAUUCUCAUAUGACCCUUUCUCAACUUCUUAGGAAGAAAGCACCAACCAGAAAACGAGAAGGUAAUAAUUUGGG
rnacentral:lncRNA from 1 species